CAGAGAACAAACCUCCACCCUCAACUUAUUGUGUUUCUACUACCUUUCAGGGCAAUCUACAGGAGUGGGGAAGUUUUAGAAAAAAUGAAAGUGGAAUUGCUGCGUAAUCUACCUUGGGCCAUCUAUAAUUCACUUCUUCAUUAAUUUGAUUGCCCAUUUCAAACCAAUGACCCUAAUUAAAUAGAUAGAGUGUAAGUAAAAAGGUGGAUAUGGCAGGAACAGAAGACCUCUUAUGCAAGAAGCAGUGCUUCUCGUGUGGGCAGCUAAGCGCUAAGGCCUAUUUUCAGAGAACUCUCUGGGUGAGUCAAGGGCAGGGCUGGCAACAGUGGUGGUAUUCGGCCAGUUCUACCCGGCUCGGGCGAACCGAUAGCGGCUGCUGCAGGAGACUCCACCCACCCGCCCAAAUGUCAUCACAUCUCAUUUUUAACGAUCUGCUGAUGCAUGGAAGGCCCUGCGCAUGCUCACAUUUGUGGACCAGUAGCGAAGCUGGAAGAAUGGCGCACUGAGGGGUUCAACAACACCAGUGGCAUCACAUCUCACCCAAACCUUCUGAAGAGAACUUUUCUUAACCAGACCUGUAUUUGUGAGCAAAGUUGGAUAGAUGAUAGAGUGUGCUAUUUAUGAGAGGUACAGAAUCUCAGCCACUGGAUAGUAUUACCUCAAGCUUGAUAAACCUAUCUCAUGAAGAUUGUUACAGCUGACAGCAAAGCUAAACUGUUGGUUGUCAGAUAGAAGGCUGCCAUUAAGGAAGCCUGAUCUUCAACAGCUAGAAAUC